AUUACAGCAAAGGGAUAAUGAACAUUCACCAUUGUUUCUUUCUCAGGUAGCACAGUAUGUAAGUGGCUGGGUAAACAAUAUGGGUGCCUCUUUAUCCCUUUUAAGGCUGUUGGAAAAGGGCACGAACCUCUUGCUAAAAGCCCACCCAGGAACAAUAAUAAUUCCCCUAUGUAUCAUGUAGCUGGUUUGUGCAGACAUUGUGUUUCAUUCCCACAACUGUCUUGUCUGGCAAUUUUGCCAUCUUCCCGUGCCUACCCACACGCCUCUCUUCUGUAGGCAUAGCUGUAACCAGAGGGAUGCUGCAGAGCUUGUAUGCCAAUUAUUUCAGCAACUGAGCUGCUUCUUUGAGGAGGAAGACUUUUUUUUUAAUUGUUUGCCCAACAGCCCAGGCUCAGCCUGGGUCCUCACCUCACACACUACUGCAGGCAGCUGUGGCCCUCCUGUCCAUGCUGGAUUUUGCCUCCAGUGCCAUGGUGGGAACAGAUCCAAGACAACUGUGCCUUGCAGCUGGGAGUCAGGCUUGCCACCCACACUGGACCUUCAAGCAUAUGCUUACUGAGUUGGAAGCUGUGCCUGCUGGCGUGCUGCCGAUGCAGGGUUCUCAUUCUGCUUACCUUGACGUGAGGGAAGGAGCAAACAAGGUCACCCAUCUUUUGACAGUCUCCAAAAGCCUUUCCUCAAUCUCUCCAAGGUAUCAAGCUGCGAAAACUAUCUAUAAAUGAAGUCUGCACUUAUGAGAUUGGGGAAACCCUGUUUCCUUGUGGAAAGCUUUGUUGCACCGUUCUUGGCCAAGCUGUGCCAACUGUCACUGCAUAACGCGAGUGAUUCCUUAGACAGGUAGGUGGGAGAUCUGCAGGGAAAAUCUCCAGUCAUUCCUUUGUAGAGGUAGCACAUUUUCCUCACUCAGUCUACACCAUUGUGUUGUGACUGUUGUCAUGAAAAGCCAUUUGGAAGCAGGAGUGAGCGCAAGGUAAACGUCACAACAAGAACUUGAGAAUUAAGAUAGUCAGGCUCUCCUGAUUACCCUGACCUGACAGCUUGAAAAAAUCUGUCAGUAAAGUUCUGGAGCUCUUGUAUUUUCAUGUCAAAUACAACAGUGCACGCCAA